GACGAACGCUGGCGGCGUGCUUAACACAUGCAAGUCGAGCGGUAAGGCCCUUUCGGGGGUACACGAGCGGCGAACGGGUGAGUAACACGUGGGUGACCUGCCCUCAGCUCUGGGAUAAGCCCGGGAAACUGGGUCUAAUACCGGAUAUGACUCCAUGACGCAUGUUGUGGGGUGGAAAGCCUUGUGCGGCUAGGGAUGGGCCCGCGGCCUAUCAGCUUGUUGGUGGGGUGAUGGCCUACCAAGGCGACGACGGGUAGCCGGCCUGAGAGGGCGACCGGCCACACUGGGACUGAGAUACGGCCCAGACUCCUACGGGAGGCAGCAGUGGGGAAUCUUGCGCAAUGGGCGAAAGCCUGACGCAGCGACGCCGCGUGAGGGAUGACGGCCU
rnacentral:rRNA from 1 species